rnacentral:rRNA from 1 species
ACGAACGCUGGCGGCGUGGAUAAGACAUGCAAGUCGGACGGGACUUGUCUUGUAGCAAUACGAGGCAAGUUCAGUGGCGCAAGGGUGCGUAACACGUGGGCAACCUGCCGGGAAGCGGGGGAUAGCUCGCCGAAAGGCGAAUUAAUACCGCAUGUGGCCAGGGAGGACAUCCUCCUGAAGCCAAAGCCGGGGCAACCUGGCGCUUCCUGAUGGGCCCGCGGCCUAUCAGCUAGUUGGUGAGGUAACGGCUCACCAAGGCGAUGACGGGUAGCUGGUCUGAGAGGACGACCAGCCACACUGGAACUGAGACACGGUCCAGACACCUACGGGUGGCAGCAGUCGAGAAUUUUUCACAAUGGGCGCAAGCCUGAUGGAGCGACGCCGCGUGGGGGAUGAAUGGCUUCGGCCCGUAAACCCCUGUCAUUCGCGAUCAAACCUCGCUAUUUAAAAGAUGACGAGCUGAUAGUAGCGGAAGAGGAAGGGACGGCUAACUCUGUGCCAGCCGCCGCAGUAACAC